rnacentral:lncRNA from 1 species
GAAAGGUUAUUUGUCUAGAAAAGAAGACGCAUAGACCAACGCCAGUCUAACAUCUGACUUGUUCGAGAGAAAAGUUAUUUGUCUGGAAAAGAGAUAAUGUCAAGGUAGUAGGACACCCUUUCCUAUUAAAAAGCUAGUGCCGUACCUGGACUAACUUCUUGGAGAAUUCGUACCGUUAGUCACGCUUUAAGCUCGAGAGAGUUAAAGUGAAAUAGUCCUUGUUUAGGUCGAGAGACGCUUGGAUUUACCAUCGACUACAAUUCUCUAUAAGCAAUUACAUGUCAAGACUCUACACACUCAUAGCCAAUAGAGACGUAUACCUCAGAAGGUGGACAUAACCCCAACGCCUCAAUUCUCAUUGUUUACAACACACGUGACAAUCUCUCUUUAUUUUGCUAUUUUCAGUUCUUACAUUCUUGUUUUGGUUACAUACUACAAUCCCCCCUUUCCUACGAGACUUGCACUAAAAGUCUAGUAAUUUCUCUUGCUUGUUGGCCAAGCUAUUCUCUGUGGGAUCGAUACCCAACCCAGGUUGGGUUCUAUAUUUGCUAACGACCGCUUUACACUCCCACGAGAGCUGUAGAUUGAGCGUUAUCAAAAAUUGGCGCCGUUGCCGGGGAAUACGAGUGUCAAUCAAGUUCGUGAAAAUUACUAGACCCUUUGGUCAAAGAUUCUCGUACUUUUACGUUUAGUUUUUGUUUUUGUUUAUUGCAGGUUUUUCUUUUAGUGCAUGCCCCAUACUAGAAGUUCUGGUCAACCGUUAUUACCAAUCAAUCCGGAACCACAACGAAUCAGAAGAAUGGAAGCACAAGCGGAAAUCGACAGGAUGGCUGCUCAACAUGAGCAAGCAAGAUUAGCUGCUCUUGCCGCUGCUCAAGUCCAACAACAAAACAUUGAUAAUCCUGGACGAGCAACAAAUCCUGACGAUGAAGAUUUAGGAGAUGACGAGUUGAUCAACCCAAGGCAUGGCGCUGAAAUGGCAACACCUACCAACAGACGAGGUCGACAAGCUCGGUACAGAUAUGAUCGCCAACCUUUGCAACCAGCUUUCGACGAUGAUGAUGAUGAUCUUGAUGGUGCCGGAGCCACUGGAGCUAUAAUUCCACCACCAUUAGCGCCCGGAGCCAAGUUCAACAUCACUAGCACCAUGAUUCAGUUAUUGCAACUCAAGGGAUUAUUUGGUGGACUAGCAGGCGAUGAUCCGAAUAUGCAUCUCAUCAACUUUAUUUCUACAUGCAAGUCUUUUGACAAUCCUGGAGUUGGUCAGAAUGCUAUUCGAUUACGUCUAUUUCCAUUGUCUCUGUCUGGGGAGGCAACAUUAUGGUUGAAUGGGCUGACUCCUGAUUCUAUUACAAAUUGGAGGCAAUUGAGAGACGCUUUCCUAGAAAGAUUCUUUCCGCCAUCCAAGAGGGCUCAAUUGAGAGAUGAAAUCAGCAACUUUCGUCAGCUUCCCUCUGAAGCUCUUCACGAAACAUGGGAGAGGUUCAAGACAAAGCUAGCGAGAUGCCCAAACCAUCACAUGACUAAUGUUCACCUCAUGGAGAUCUUAUAUAGAGCCUUGAAUUCAGUAACUAAACCAGUGGUGGACAACGCAGCUGGAGGUUCUUUUAUGGACCUCACCUUUGGUCAAGCAAGCAACAUGCUAGAUCGUAUGACGAAACAAAGUAGAGCUUGGCAUACCAGGGAUUCUGAGGUAGCAAGCCCCACUUUAUCUAUUGGCAUGUCUGCAGAUCAAAGAAGGAGAGAAGAAGAACGUGAUCAAGAUAUGGCGCACAUGAAAACCCAAAUGGAUCUUCUUACAAAGCAUCUAUUAGGGAAGACUGAAAAAGUGAAAUCUAUUGCGUCAAAAGGAAGAGACGAAUCUGAUUCAGAAGAGGAGGCCAACUACUUGAACAAUCAGGGGGGUUUCCGUGGGAAUGCCCAAGGAAACCAAGGUCGGAACUAUUAUGACAAAUCUGGAGGUAAAGACCAAGGUAGUUGGAAGAAAAAUAAUGAAAACAGUGGUUUGUACGUUCCCCCUGGUAGACGUGAUACCACCACAUCUAAUUCUAUGGAAGACAUGAUGGCUAAGUUAUUGAAAGGAGUGGAAGCGACGAAUGCGGGAGUUAAGGAGGUGAUUGACGAUUUGGCCUCCAUGAAGCAAUUAGUUGAUUCUCAUUCCACUUCUAUCAAGCAACUAGAGCAGCAAUUCAGUCAACUUUCAGCAACACUCAACCAAAGAAAAGCCGGCACCUUGCCUAGCGAUACGGUGCAAAAUCCAAGGACUGAUGGGUCAUGCAUGGCCAUCACUACGAGGAGUGGUAAGGUGCUGGAAACUUCAGCAGAAGGCAAGCAAAUAGUUGACAGAACAGCAGACACAACCGCCACACCUAGUGACGCCACUAGGGAAGACGCCGCAAUAUCCACUUCCAACGUCAAGGACGUGUUGCCUAGUGACGUGCAGCCUGAAAAAAGUAAUAAACGGAAGCAAGAGGAGAAGAAAGCCAUGGAAAGAACACUUCCAUACCCACCACCACCUUUUCCACAAAGACUGAAGAAGGCGGCCGAUGACACUAAGUUCAGCAAGUUCAUGACCAUCUUGAAGCAGCUGACUAUUAAUGUCCCAUUGGUAGAGGCACUUGAACAAAUGCCUGGGUAUGCGAAGUUUAUGAAAGAUCUUUUGACUAAGAAGAGGGCAGCAAGCUAUGAGCUGAAAGAAGAUGUGCAUCAUUGUAGUGCAAUAGCUACCCGAUCCAUAGUUCAGAAGAAGGCCGACCCCGGAGCUUUCACUAUUCCUUGCACCGUCGGAUCUUUGGACUUUGCUAAAGCAUUAUGUGACUUAGGAGCCAGCAUCAACUUGAUGCCAUUAUCAAUCUACAAGAAGUUGGGGUUGGGAGAUCCUACACCAACUAAUAUGAAGCUUGUUAUGGCGGAUAGGUCGGUAAAACGACCGGUUGGUAUUCUAUGCGAUGUCUUGGUGAAGGUAUCUUCAUUCAUAUUUCCAGCAGACUUUGUCAUCUUGGAUUGCGAAGCAGAUUCAGAGGUUCCCAUAAUCUUGGGACGCCCUUUCCUUGCUACGGGAAGUGUGCUCAUAGAUUUGAGAGCUAAUGAACUUUCAUUCCGAAUAAAUGAUGAAGUGGUGCGCUUUGAUGUUUGCAAAUCAAUGAAGCAACCCAAAGAUCUAAGUGUAUUUUCUGUGACUGAUGUUGUCGUUGAUGACGAGGAUGAGUUACUUGCUGAAGAACAAAUUCUUGAUGAUCCUUUGGAGGUUUUGCUCAUGGAAGAAGAUGAUGAUGAUGCUGAAAUUUCUGAAGAUGAUAUUUGUGCUCUAUCGGGAUUAGGAGCAUAUCGCUAUCCUCCUAAGAAGCUGGAUAUUGAUCUCAAGAAUCGACCCACACCACCAGCUAAGCCAUCUAUUGAAGAACCACCCACAUUAGAAUUAAAGGAGCUGCCAAGCCAUUUGAAGUAUGCAUUCUUAGGAAGCGGAAACACUCUUCCAGUCAUAGUGGCAGCCGAUUUAGGUGAGCAACAAGUUGCAGCUCUUAUUGCAAUUUUACGCAAGUAUAUUAGAGCUAUUGGAUGGACCAUUGCGGAUAUCCUUGGUAUUCCACCUGGAAUUUGCACUCAUAAAAUUCAGCUCCAAGAAAAGUGCACACCCACCAUCGAACACCAAAGACGUCUAAACCCACCAAUGCAAGAGGUGGUGAAGAAGGAGAUUAUCAAGUGGUUAGACGCAGGAGUUGUGUAUCCUAUUUCUGAUAGUACAUGGGUAAGCCCAGUACAAUGUGUUCCCAAGAAAGGAGGUAUGACGGUGGUUGCGAAUGCAAAGAAUGAGCUUAUUCCACUCAGGCCCGUCACUGGAUGGAGAGUAUGCAUGGACUACCGCAAGCUGAAUUCUUGGACUCUCAAGGAUCACUUCCCCAUGCCAUUUAUGGACCAAAUGCUAGAUCGAUUAGCGGGAAAAGGAUGGUUUUGCUUUCUUGAUGGUUAUUCAGGUUAUAAUCAGAUUUUUAUUGCACCAGAAGACCAAGAGAAGACAACGUUUACAUGCCCAUAUGGUACGUUUGCCUUCAAACGUAUGCCAUUCGGGUUAUGUAAUGCACCAGCCACCUUUCAGCGAUGUAUGAUGUCUAUUUUCUCUGAUAUGGUAGAAGACACUUUGGAGGUAUUUAUGGACGACUUUUCAGUUGUUGGGGAGUCUUUCGAAGCAUGUUUGGUGAAUUUAAGCAUGGCAUUACAAAGAUGUGUAGAGUUCAACCUUGUGCUGAAUUGGGAGAAGUGCCACUUCAUGGUAAAAGAAGGAAUUGUUCUUGGGCACAAGAUCUCCGAAAAAGGAAUAGAGGUUGAUCGCGCCAAAAUAGAGGUAAUUGAGAAGCUACCACCUCCAAUUUCGGUGAAGGGAGUUCGUAGUUUUCUUGGCCAUGCUGGGUUUUAUCGUAGAUUCAUCAAAGACUUCUCCAAAAUUUCUAGUCCAUUAUGCAAGCUAUUGGAGAAAGAUGCGAAGUUUGACUUUAAUGAUGAUUGCUUAAAGGCAUUUGAAUGCCUUAAAGAAAAACUCGUUGAAGCCCCUAUCAUGGUAACACCAGAUUGGACGCUCCCGUUCGAAGUCAUGUGUGAUGCUAGUGGUGUAGCCGUUGGUGCUGUUCUUGGACAGAGAAAGGAGAAAUUAUUUCAUCCUAUCUACUAUGCGAGUAAGGUCCUCAAUGAAGCCCAAAGGAACUACACCGUCACUGAACAAGAGCUAUUAGCGGUUGUGUAUGCGUUUGAGAAGUUCCGCGCCUACCUAUUAGGUACUAAAGUGAUCGUUCAUACAGACCAUGCAGCUCUUAGGUAUCUAAUGACAAAGAAGGAUGCAAAACCAAGGCUGAUUCGAUGGGUGUUGCUGCUGCAAGAGUUUGAUUUCGAAGUCAAAGAUAGAAGAGGUUGCGAGAACCAAGUGGCUGAUCACCUAUCUAGACUUGAGAAUGAGUAUGUGGCGCAAUCAGAAAAUCAGAUUGGCGAUGCAUUCCCUGACGAGGAGAUAUUAGCGACAACAAUAGAAGACUUACCAUGGUAUGCCGACUUUGCGAAUUUCGUGGUGAGUAAUGUGUUACCUACAAAUUUAUCUUACCACCAGAGGAGGAAGUUUAUGCAUGACGUUCAGCACUAUUAUUGGGAUGAGCCUUAUUUGUUUCGAAGAUGUGCGGAUGGUAUCAUUCGACGAUGUAUAUCCCAUGACGAAGUGCCCACUAUAUUAGAAGCAUGCCACACUUCGCAAGUUGGAGGACAUCAUGCGGGUAAUCGAACAGCAAGAAAAGUCUUGCAAAGUGGUUAUUAUUGGCCUACAAUAUUCAGAGAUGCACACGACUAUGUGAGAAGGUGUGACCAAUGCCAACGUCAAGGUGUUAUUUCAAAACACCAUGAAAUGCCCAUGUCCACAAUCCUGGAGGUAGAACUCUUUGAUGUAUGGGGUAUUGAUUUCAUGGGACCAUUCGUAAAUUCGUUUGGAAUGAAGUACAUCUUGGUUGCUGUGGAUUAUGUGUCGAAAUGGGUUGAAGCUGUAGCAUUGGCCGAUAAUGAAGGAAAGCGUGUUGUAGCGUUUUUAAAGAAGAAUAUCUUCUCUCGCUUUGGGGUACCUCGUACUAUCAUAAGUGAUGGAGGAUCUCACUUCUGCAACAAGCUAUUCAAAUCUGUAUUGGCCAAGUAUGGAGUCAAGCAACACAAGGUAGCUACGCCUUAUCAUCCCCAAACUAGUGGACAAGUAGAGGUUUCCAAUCGGGAGAUCAAGCAAAUCCUUGCCAAGACGGUCAAUGCGAAUCGGAAGGAUUGGUCUCGGAAGCUAGAUGAUGCACUAUGGGCGUAUAGGACUGCAUUCAAGACACCCAUUGGCAUGUCACCUUAUCAGCUAGUUUAUGGGAAGGCUUGUCAUCUACCCAUCGAGCUUGAAUACAAGGCAUUAUGGGCAUUGAAGCACUUGAAUCUGAAUUGGGAUGAUGUGAAGAACCUGAGGUUGGAGCAGCUGAACGAGCUAGAUGAAUUCCGUCUCCAUGCUUAUGAAAGAUCAGAUUUAUACAAGGAGCGGAUGAAGAAGUAUCACGAUCAGCGGAUUGUUCGACGACACUUCCAAAAAGGUGACAUGGUGCUACUCUUUAACUCCAGAUUCAAGCUCUUCCCAGGUAAGUUAAAAUCAAAGUGGUCUGGUCCAUUUAAAGUCACCCACGUCUACUCGUUUGGAGUAGUCGAAUUGGAAAAUAAUGAGGGUGUUAUCUUCAAGGUGAAUGGCCAACGUGUUAAGCCAUAUAUCGGUCCUCUUGACUCGAUAAAUGACAUGGCCAUCACUUAUCUCGACGAAGUCUAAGUACUCGAGAUUACUACGUCGAGCCACGACAAUAAAUAAGGCGCUAGAUGGGAGGCAACCCUUCGUUUUAUUGUUUUAUCGUUUUGUCGUUUUAGUAUUUUUUCUUUUUGAUAAAUGAAAAUCCAAAAAUAAGAGUCGUGCCACGACCAAAACUAAGGCGCUUGGUGGGAGGCAACCCAUCGUACUAAUCGUUUUCAUUUGUUUGAGCAAAUAUAGGUGUAAGAAGUAUGCAACGAGGAGAUUGAUUUCAAUUGACGAUUUGGUCGCGUCGUAUGGUAAAGGCGGUAAGUUAGGAAUGGUGAUGCAUAAGGCUAUGAAUUGAGCCUUUCUCACGUCAUAAUAGGCUUCGAGGAAGGCUAGGCCUUGGUAAAAAUAGGCCACGAACGAUGCACAACCUAUUCUAUAGCCUAAGGACUCGGAAUCUAGUGUGCUAUACCCUAUGCGCCGCCUAUUCCUAGGUGUGCUUUUGACUAUGCGCCGCCUAUGUCCCAUUAUGCCAUGGACAAUGCGCCGCAUAUACAUGUGAUAUGCCGAGGGAUAUGCGCCGCAUAUAGGGUGAUUUUGUCCCCAAAUCCGAUUGUAAAUGGGUCAUAACCCGACCCAUACUCCUCCUAUAUAAAGGGGACUUGUUUUUAUUUCACAAACACAUUAGAAUCAACCCUAAAGGCGCCGCAUAUCAUCCCAAAUCCUCUCAAAUUUUUCUUCCUUUGUUCUUCCAAUCCACAACAACUUCUCCACAAUCUUCAAGCAAGUAAGUGCUCUCUUAUUCUUCAUCUAUUUAUCAUGAGUACUACUUUACUAUGCUUAUUAUUAAAUGCUAAAUCACGUGAGAUUAGUGGUGAUGUUCAUGUGCUUGGAUAAUUGUUGCAAAAAUCGUAUGAUUGAAUGAAUACGAAUGCAAUUCUUGACUUGUUUCCGACUUGAAUUUUGUUUCAAUGGCAUUGUUAUGAUACUUGCUGAACAUAUAUGGCUAUGAAUAUUGCUUGAAAGUGUUGUUUGGAUGCUUGCAUGAUUCACCACCCCGGCCAUCGGGAUACGGUUAUAGUGACUAUCCACGUAGGAGGUAGUGUUGGUUGUUCGAAUAGCAAUUCCAUGUGGUAACUCCUAUGUUAUAGUAUCGCUAUAUGCACCAUGAAAGACGUCCAAAUGGCUGUUCAUAAGUGAUGUCAUGCUGAUUUUCUUGUCGGAAUACAAUCCGAGGACGUAUGUCGACGAAGUCUGAGUACUCGACCACUUUCACUUCACUGAUUUUUGCUAACAAGAUUAAGUGUGGGGUGGUACCCCUAAUGCUUGCAUAUAGAAUUGUCUAAAGUGCGAUUGUGCCGCAUCUAACAUUAUUUCUAGUCUCAGGUACAAUGGCACCGAAAGCAAGGCAAGGCAAGGAGAAGGCUACCACAACCCGCAAGGACAAAAAGAGAAGCCGAAAAGACCAAGGCGAAUCAUCUUCCGCACACCUACCACGCAGAAUGUUCGGAAUCAAAUGGGUUCUUGAGGAAGAAGCCAAGGCAUGGUACAGCAGCAACAAAGAAAAGAAAUAUGUGCACGUCGACUUAAUCAAUAAGGAGACCUUAGCAAAGAAGGAGCCGCAAAUGUUGGCUAAGAUUAUGGCUUUGAAGCUGGAUUUCAUCUUCCGUGACAUGGGAGAGUGCAAUCUUGACUUGACAAGAGAGUUUUAUGCCAACUGGUCGCCAAACACAACAGGCAACGAAGUCAAAAUUCGGGGCCAAGUGUUACAGCUUACAGCGGAUUGGAUCAACUCGUUUCUAGGCCUACCUUCGGUCGACACUGCACCAUACAAAGAGCUGUACAGCAGACCUCCUUACAGAGCUAUAAGACACACGCUUUGUGGAAGCAGAUCGAUGGCGAGAUGGGGCAGACAUAAGGAAACAGGCCGUCACAACACAUUCCCCUAUGCUCCACUAAAUAGGGAAGCAAGAAUCUGGAUGCGCAUUGUCAACUCAUGCCUCAUUCCUGGGACGCAAUACACAAAGAUAUCGAGAGAUAGAGUGUGCCUGGUUUAUUCAUUAAUGACGAAUGUCCCUAUCAACUUUGGGGCAAUCAUUCGAUCCACCAUGAGGAAAGCCAGACUCCACAGCAGGUCCUAUUUCACAUUCGGCAAUUUGUUGACAGCAAUGUUGCGGAAGGAGGAUAUAGAAGAGGAACCAGCUGACCACAAACUCCCACAUACCCCAAAGAAGGUUGACCUCACCAAGGUCAAAGAUGCUGAAACAACGCAUGGAGUCAACCUUACCACUGCGGAGAGACAUGCUCGUGACGAGAGUUUCUUCCGUCAUCUCUAUGGCAUGACGAGAUUCACUAUGAUGAGUGGUGGACGUAUUCCAACUGCUGAAGAGCUCCAACAGCUGGACCACGACUACCCAAUGAACAGACAUGCCCGGGAGAUGUGUGGAGUGGGAGUAUAUUUCGAGGAACCUCUUGAUGAUGACGUGCCAACUGAUGAUGAUAGACGCUUGCCUGAUUCUGAUGCUGAGGAGAACUCUGACGAUGACUCUUACGAUGACUCGAACGAAGGGGGUAUGACAUUGAGGAAGAGUCCGACUAAUCAGGUUCUUCGACUUUAUUUUCCACUGAGGGCAGUGUCUAGUCUAAGUGUGGGGUGUCGGCAGAAUCUGCAUGCUAUAUUUGUAUGUUUGCUUGUUUAUUUUGUUUUAUUUAUUUUGUUUUGAGUCCGAUUUUUUUUGUGAUUUUUUUCGUGUGACGUUUUUUUUUAGUUUUUAGUAGUUAAAAUUUUUCUAGCCUCGCAUGAAAUUAUUUUAAUAGGCAGCAUGAGAUUAUAACAAUAGUAUGUAUUACAAUUGUGACUAUUGAGACAUUUAGGCUCUAGUUGUGACUCAUUAUGUGAUAGUGUGUGAUUCAAUUCCUUCACUUGUUGGGUUGAGAGUCUAUAUUGCUACCAAUCAAGUCGACCAUGUGCCUUGUGUGUGUGAGAUAAUAGUAUAUUCUAUGUAUGUGGCUGAUGCUAGAACUUGCCUGGUAUGUAUGCAAAGCGAAAAUAAGGAGUGUAAGUUUAGGAUAUGAUUUAGGCAUUUCUUUGGCAACCUAUAUUUGUUUACCUUCAGUUUUACCUACCCAUGGACAUCAUCCUAGUUAAACCCUUUUGAGCCUUUAGCCUAUUUCUUUGACAACCUUGUAUGUAAGCCUAAUUCAUUUUUUUUCAAGACCGUAAUUUGAUCCAAAUUCCUAAGUGCUUUAAAGUAAAAAAGUCAUGUGACAACAUAAGAGGAAAUUGGUUGAGUAUGAUGCUUUAAAUUGUAAUGGUGCUUGAAUAUGUUAUGAAAAAGAAAGUGCUAUCAUAAGAGGUAUGUUGUGAGAAGAAAAAGGAAAAGAAAGCUGAAAAGUGAGUUGUGCUUUAAAAUUGAAAAACAAAAGAGGAGAACAAGGGUGCUACAAAAAAAGUGUCAAUAAUACAAUGUGAUGUAUUAAAGUGCUUAGGAACUUAGUCACUAUUUCUGGCCAAAAUAGUUGAUCCUACCCGUCCCUUAGCCUACAUUACAACCAUCAAAAGACCUACUUGAUCCUAACCUUAACAUUCCGACAUUUAGUGGAGUACUACAUUAAGGGCAAGCCUAUGGUCAUUAGCUGCUACAUAUGAAUUCUUUGUGAGAGUGAGCGCAAGGAUACUUUGCUGCCCAUGUUUGAAAAAUAUGCUAUACUUGUGAGUGAUUAUGGGUACUAUAUUGUGAGACACACAUGGUUGAUGAGUUUUGGAUAGUUGUAUAUGAUUCUAUGUACCUUAAACGUUUGCAUGCGAGUUGAUCACCAUCACGAGUCUAUGCUUGAGGUUAAAUUGUUUCUACUUAUAAUCGGAAAGCUACUCUUCGUUGAUAAUUGUUGUGCUUGUCUUGAAGAAUGUUUUGUGUUGUUUCUGUAAAAACCUUAAGUCAAUGCUUAGAAGGACAUGAUAUGUUGUUCGAGGACGAACAAAGCUCUAAGUGUGGGGUGUUGAUGAUAGGCGAAAUUACGCGCCUAUAUCAAUAUAUUUUGCCCAUAUUUUAGCCUAGUUUCGAGAACUAAUUAUCUAUUUCGUACACUUUUAGUCCUUUUUCCUGUAAAUGAGCUAACAAAUGUGAUUAGGAAAGUUUCAGGUAUAAAUGAUGCAAAAUACAGCAAUUUAUGGCUUACUUGACGCAAAAGAAAGCUCACAAACGAGAUGGAAAGGAGCUGGACGCAUAAAGGACUAAAUCUGCUGCAUGGAAAAUCUGUCCCGGGCUAAAACAGCAUUUCUGAAGACUUUGGGACUUACAGACACAAAGCUGGAUUUUUGCCAUAAUACAUUAACCUAGUGCAAUUAGGUUAUGUGUUUCAUCAUUCUAUUUGGAUUAUAAUUUUGUAACCUUACCCUAGUACAAUUGGGUCAAGGAUUUCAUUAGUAUAUUAGGAUUUGGUUAUUUAUUUUAUUAGUUUAGUAGGAGUAGGAUAGGAGUAUUAUAAAUACCCUAUCAUGUUAGAGAUUUUCAAGAAGGGAGACAUUCUGACAAUUCAUUCAUCUCCUUACAAUUAAGACAUCUUCCUACAACCCAUUCUCAAUUCUUCAUUCUUCUACUCUUAAAUUCCACAACAAGAGAAUCGUUACUUGCUACGGAAUCACUAAAACCACACGCCAAACACCUACUAUUCACGCCAUCCACCAUGCAAAACGUGAUAUCCUUCGCAUUCAUGGGUAACUAAAUCUCUUAGUUGGGGUUAUGGAAGCCGAAUGAGUUACUAUCUAUAGCUAUGAGUUUGUGAGUUCAAGACAAGUAUAUUGCUUAUAUCAUUAUUCUCUUCAUCUUAAAUCUACAUUCUUUGCGGUUCAAACACAAGAACACGCCAUUCUAACAUCUAACCUGUUCGAGAGAAAGGUUAUUUGUCUAGAAAAGAAGACGCAUAGACCAACGCCAGUCUAACAUCUGACUUGUUCGAGAGAAAAGUUAUUUGUCUGGAAAAGAGAUAAUAUCAAGGUAGUAGGACACCCUUUCCUAUUAAAAAGCUAGUGCCGUAACUGGACUAACUUCUUGGAGAAUUCGUACCGUUAGUCACGCUUUAAGCUCGAGAGAGUUAAAGUGAAAUAGUCCUUGUUUAGGUCGAGAGACGCUUGGAUUUACCAUCGACUACAAUUCUCUAUAAGCAAUUACAUGUCAAGACUCUACACACUCAUAGCCAAUAGAGACGUAUACCUCAGAAGGUGGACAUAACCCCAACGCCUCAAUUCUCAUUGUUUACAACACACGUGACAAUCUCUCUUUAUUUUGCUAUUUUCAGUUCUUACAUUCUUGUUUUGGUUACAUACUACAAUCCCCCCUUUCUUACGAGACUUGCACUAAAAGUCUAGUAAUUUCUCUUGCUUGUUGGCCAAGCUAUUCUCUGUGGGAUCGAUACCCAACCCAGGUUGGGUUCUAUAUUUGCUAACGACCGCUUUACACUCCCACGAGAGCUGUAGAUUGAGCGUUAUCA